UACGGAAAGGGCGAGCGUUGUUCGGAAUCAUUGGGCGUAAAGGGCGCGUAGGUGGUUCUGUAUGUCUACCGUGAAAGCGUACGGCUCAACCGUAUUUCGUCGGUAGAAACUGCAGGACUUGAGGCUGGGAGGGGCUGGUGGAAUUCCCUGUGUAGCGGUGAAAUGCGUAGAGAUGGGGGAGAACACGCGUGGCGAAGGCGGCCAGCUAGACCAGUUCUGACACUGAGGCGCGACAACGUGGGGAGCAAACAGG
rnacentral:rRNA from 1 species